rnacentral:lncRNA from 1 species
UCAUUAUCCCCUCUCCCUCCAGAUCCACAGCAGAACCAAAUUUCCAAAUGAAUUUCAUGUUUCUGAGGAUACUUUUGUGGUACUAAAAUAUGGAUCAAUAUUAAAUAUAAAAGUAUGCUAUAAAGAUGAUAAAACUUCUUUCUGCCACAUGAACAACAUAUAUGUUUCUGCGACAUGUUUUUGAUCCAUAUAUUAAAAGACUCAUUUUCUUGAUCCAUUCACAGCAAUUAAGAAGAAAAU